CCAUCACAGUCAUCCCCAUCACCGGAGCUCACUGUUCCGGUGAACCAGCGCCGGUCUACUAAAAAUUAAUCCACUCACCACCAGAAAUCCCCAUAGCAGCCUUCCAAAAAAACUACCCCACCAGCGUCAUCAAUUAUUGGGUGAUUCAUAUGCCAUUAAUGGCUGAUACAUUUCAAACUUCAACCAAAUGUAUCACACAUAUUUCAAAUAGUAAUCCUCUGCCACCAAAUAAUAAUUCAAAUAAUAAUCAGCGAAAGUGAAUCAGCAGGAGGGUGGGCCGUUAUCGGAGAAGACAUCGAUUGGGUUGGUGGAUUCUAUGAUAAAGAUGAAGAGUUUCAUAUUUACGCUUGUUUGGAUGUGUUUAAGCACAACUACUCCAGCAUCGGCAACACCAACCCCACCGCCGAGAAAUGAUCAAGAGGAUUCUCGUACCACUAGAGAACGAUGGAACUCUUAUAAUUGGAAAAAGGCAGGUGAAAUUUAGGACCCCGAUAUCGAUUCUUGGACCUACCUGGAGGCCCCUAUGAAGUGUUAUAGCGCUCGUACAACUGCUCUUGUCCUGGAUAAAGAUCAAAUCGCGUUUAAUUACGCAUCAAAAAUUGCAACUGUCUUUAGAAUGCAUUAAAUUUUUUAUUUUUUUUUGAAUCUCA
rnacentral:lncRNA from 1 species